GACGAACGCUGGCGGCGUGCUUAACACAUGCAAGUCGAACGGUGAAGCGCCUUCCUUUUUGGUGGGUGUGGAUGAGUGGCGAACGGGUGAGUAACACGUGAGUAACCUGCCCCCUUCUUCUGGAUAACCGCAUGAAAGUGUGGCUAAUACGGGAUAUUCUGGGUCUGUCGCAUGAUGGGUCUGGGAAAGAUAUUGUUUCGGUGGGGGAUGGGCUCGCGGCCUAUCGGCUUGUUGGUGGGGUGAUGGCCUACCAAGGCGGUGACGGGUAGCCGGCCUGAGAGGGUGGACGGUCCCACUGGGACUGAGACACGGCCCAGACUCCUACGGGAGGCAGCAGUGGGGAAUAUUGCACAAUGGGCGCAAGCCUGAUGCAGCGACGCCGCGUGAGGGAUGGAGGCCUUCGGGUUGUGAACCUCUUUCGCCAGUGAAGCAGGCCUGCCUCGUUUGUGGGUGGGUUGACGGUAGCUGGAUAAGAAGCGCCGGCUAACUACGUG
rnacentral:rRNA from 1 species